UUUCCGUAGGUGAACCUGCGGAAGGAUCAUUAAAAGUUGGCGAAAGCCGUACUUUACACCCUGUGUAUCUACUCUUGCUUCGGUGGCGCACAAAUAAGGCCACCGGAGAUAUUAAACCCGUCUGUAACAGUCGUCAAAAACAAAGAAAUUCUUAAAACUUUCAACAACGGAUCUCUUGGUUCCCGCAUCGAUGAAGAACGCAGC
rnacentral:misc_RNA from 1 species